rnacentral:rRNA from 1 species
GAUUAACGCUGGCGGCAGGCCUAACACAUGCAAGUCGAACGCCCUAGCAAUAGGGAGUGGCGCACGGGUGCGUAACGCGUGGGAAUAUGCCCUUCACUGCGAAAUAACGUUUGGAAACGAACGCUAAUACCGCAUAAUGACUCCGGUCCAAAGAUUUAUCGGUGAAGGAUUAGCCCGCGUUAGAUUAGCUAGUUGGUGAGGUAAUGGCUCACCAAGGCGACGAUCUAUAGCUGGUCUGAGAGGAUGAUCAGCCACACUGGGACUGAGACACGGCCCAGACUCCUACGGGAGGCAGCAGUGAGGAAUAUUGGACAAUGGGCGCAAGCCUGAUCCAGCCAUGCCGCGUGCAGGAUGACGGCCCUAUGGGUUGUAAACUGCUUUAUACAAGAGAAAACCCUGGUACGUGUACCAGGUUGAUAGUAUUGUAAGAAUAAGCAUCGGCUAACUUCGUGCCAGCAGCCGCGGUAAU